GGGCGCGUGGCCUAGCAUGGAUAGGGCGCUGGCCUUCUAAGUCAGUGAUCGCGGGUUCAAAUCCCGCCGCGCCCG
rfam:Aciduliprofundum boonei T469, complete genome.